rnacentral:rRNA from 1 species
UCAGUUCGGAUUGUAGUCUGCAACCCGACUACAUGAAGCUGGAAUCGCUAGUAAUCGCAGAUCAGAAUGCUGCGGUGAAUACGUUCCCGGGUCUUGUACACACCGCCCGUCACACCAUGGGAGUUGGAAAUGCCCGAAGCCAGUGACCCAACCGUAAGGAGGGAGCUGUCGAAGGUGGAGCCGAUGACUGGGGUGAAGUCGUAACAAGGUAUC